UCGAGCGGACAGAAGGGAGCUUGCUCCCGGAUGUUAGCGGCGGACGGGUGAGUAACACGUGGGUAACCUGCCUGUAAGACUGGGAUAACUCCGGGAAACCGGAGCUAAUACCGGAUAGUUCCUUGAACCGCAUGGUUCAAGGAUGAAAGACGGUUUCGGCUGUCACUUACAGAUGGACCCGCGGCGCAUUAGCUAGUUGGUGAGGUAACGGCUCACCAAGGCGACGAUGCGUAGCCGACCUGAGAGGGUGAUCGGCCACACUGGGACUGAGACACGGCCCAGACUCCUACGGGAGGCAGCAGUAGGGAAUCUUCCGCAAUGGACGAAAGUCUGACGGAGCAACGCCGCGUGAGUGAUGAAGGUUUUCGGAUCGUAAAGCUCUGUUGUUAGGGAAGAACAAGUGCAAGAGUAACUGCUUGCACCUUGACGGUACCUAACCAGAAAGCCACGGCUAACUACGUGCCAGCAGCCGCGGUAAUACGUAGGUGGCAAGCGUUGUCCGGAAUUAUUGGGCGUAAAGGGCUCGCAGGCGGUUUCUUAAGUCUGAUGUGAAAGCCCCCGGCUCAACCGGGGAGGGUCAUUGGAAACUGGGAAACUUUAGUGCACAACAGGAGAGUGCAAUUACCCCUGUACCGGUGAAAUGCAUAGAGAUGUGCAUGAACACCCGUGG
rnacentral:rRNA from 1 species